rnacentral:tRNA from 5 species
GUCCCCAUCGUCUAGAGGCCUAGGACAUCGCCCUUUCACGGCGGCAACAGGGGUUCGAAUCCCCUUGGGGACGCCA